ACGUAGGAUCCGAGCGUUGUCCGGAAUUACUGGGUGUAAAGGGAGCGCAGGCGGGUCUAUAAGUCGACGGUGAAAUCUUCCAGCUCAACUGGAAAACUGCCGCCGAUACUGUAGAUCUUGAAUAUGUCAGAGGGAAACGGAAUUCAUGGUGUAGCGGUGAAAUGCGUAGAUAUCAUGAAGAACACCAGUCGCGAAGGCGGUUUCCUGGGACAUUAUUGACGCUCAUGCUCGAAAGUGUGGGGAGCAAACAGGAUUAGAUACCCUGGUAGUCCACACCUUAAACGAUGAAUACUAGGUGUCGGGUCGCAAGACUCGGUGCCAAAGCUAACGCAUUAAGUAUUCCACCUGGGGAGUACGAUCGCAAGGUUG
rnacentral:rRNA from 1 species